rnacentral:lncRNA from 1 species
AUUUUGUGUCUUUCAAAGACAGAGAAAGGUAUUGACAGAAAAUGAAAUUGUCUGAAAUAUAUGAUUUAAAUUCUGUCCAUUUAUUUCCAGCAUGAGUGGCUGUCUGGAAGAAUCAAUCUCCAAGAUUUGCUAAGGCAAAAAGACCCAUGAGAAAGGUCAAAGAUGUGGCUGAGGACAGUAGAAGAGAACAGAAAUGAAGAAACAGAAUGGUUAUCUGACAGUGAUGGCUGGCUGGCACUCAGGAUUAAAGCAGCCAUAUCUAAGGAAGUGGAUCUGACAAGACUUGGCGAUUUCUGGGUCAGUUUUGGUGGUAAGAGACCAGACCCGAGGCCUAAAGCUGAUAACUAUGGUUGGUUGGGGCAUUUACAAAGGAGGAGGUAAGUGAAU